GUUAACACAAUAAGAAGUAAUUAAGAGCGUAUGGCGGAUGCCUUGGCUCUCAGAGGCGAUGAAGGACGUGAUAAGCUGCGAUAAGUCAUGGAGAGGUGCAAAUAACCUUUGACCCGUGAAUUUCCGAAUGGGGCAACCCACCUAUUUUAAUAGGUAUCCAGCAAUGGAGGCAAACCCGGAGAACUGAAACAUCUAAGUACCCGGAGGAGAAGAAAACAAAAGUGAUUCCCCUAGUAGUGGCGAUCGAACGGGGAUCAGCCCAAACCUAUAUUGUUUCGGCAAUGUAGGGGUUGUAGGACUGCAAUAAGAGAAAUGGCGUGAAGUGGAAGUGUUUGGAAAGACACACCGAAGAGAGUGAUAGUCUCGUACACGUAAGCAAAAUGCCUCCAGCAGUAUCCUGAGUAGCGCGGAACACGAGAAAUUCUGUGUGAAUCUGCCGGGACCAUCCGGUAAGGCUAAAUACUCCUGAGAGACCGAUAGUGAACAAGUACCGUGAGGGAAAGGUGAAAAGCACCUCGAAUAGAGGAGUGAAAUAGUACCUGAAACCAUACGCUUACAAGCGGUCGGAGCACCUU
rnacentral:rRNA from 1 species